rnacentral:lncRNA from 1 species
GCUGGGCCUGAAAACUGAAAACUAUUUCUGCAGGCAGGCAGAAGCUGAUUUCCAUAUGUCGCAAGCCGUGUCAAGUGUCACAGGCAGGGAACAAGAAGAAUUCUCUGCUUUGGUGACCUGGGACCAGCAAUAGAAGUAGGAAGAUUGCUCUCAGAGGCUUUGAGAGGAAGCAGGAGAAAGAGGCCGUGACCUUCUUCUGACCUUUGGCUCAUAAAUGACAGACUCCCCAGAGCACUUCUGUCUAGUUGGAUUCUGUACCUGGGAUCUCAGCCUUUACGUAGAAGCCAAGCAGCUGAACAGAAGGCAAGGACUGAGAAACUGAGACUAAGUAUGCCAAAGAAGGGAAGAGUAUUGGAGCAUUUAUUGAGUGCCUGCUAUUGUGGAGAAUGGGGAGUCCAAGUUAGAAGACCCUGCAAAUCAGAAAGAAAUAGGAGAGAAAGGACCGGAGCUACGGCAGCAUUUUUGGAACCCAGCAAAGCUGAACUUAAGCUGGAUUCAUCGCUAUGCCAAGGUGGCAGAGGUACAGACUACAGCAACAAAAAUAUGGCACAGUUGUUGUUUCUGACCUCUAACCGGCUCCAUGUGGCACCUGAGAGAUGGAUGUAGAGCUUCAAGGCUUUCUCUAUACUGCAAAGCAAUUUAUUCUGUAGUCUAAAGAUCCAGGUCAGAUGUGUUGGUGUUACACAAGAGGGUAACUUAGAAGCUGCAGCCCCAAGUCAGGACAUUCUCUAGAGAACCAACACUAUUUGAUGCAGAAGGCGCAACACCAGCCAGUACACAGAGGAAGAGCACUGGAAUGUUUUCCCGGACUGAACCUGCCCAUCUGGGUCCUGAGAGUCGCAUGAAUUAGAGAAAACCGAGUGAAAACAAGAAGUAUUUAUUUCCCCUAAUAACCUUAGUGGGAUGG